rnacentral:rRNA from 1 species
GUCGUGAGAUGUUGGGUUAAGUCCGCAACGAGCGCAACCCUUUCCUUAGUUGCCAUCAGGUAAUGCUGGGGACGUCUAAGGAUACUGCCCCGUUAACGGGGAGGAAGGUGGGGAUGACGUCAAGUCAGUAUGUCCCUUACGUCCAGGCUACACACGUGUUACAAUGGCCGGUACAAUGAGUUGCGACCCUGCAAAGGUAAGCCAAUCUCAAAAAACCGGUCUCAGUUCGGAUUGCAGUCUGCAACUCGACUGCAUGAAGUUGGAAUCGCUAGUAAUCGUAGAUCAGCACGCUACGGUGAAUACGUUCCCGGGCCUU